UUAAGCGACUAAGCGUACACGGUGGAUGCCCUGGCAGUCAGAGGCGAUGAAGGACGUGCUAAUCUGCGAUAAGCGUCGGUAAGGUGAUAUGAACCGUUAUAACCGGCGAUUUCCGAAUGGGGAAACCCAGUGUGUUUCGACACACUAUCAUUAACUGAAUCCAUAGGUUAAUGAGGCGAACCGGGGGAACUGAAACAUCUAAGUACCCCGAGGAAAAGAAAUCAACCGAGAUUCCCCCAGUAGCGGCGAGCGAACGGGGAGCAGCCCAGAGCCUGAAUCAGUGUGUGUGUUAGUGGAAGCGUCUGGAAAGGCGCGCGAUACAGGGUGACAGCCCCGUACACAAAAAUGCACAUACUGUGAGCUCGAUGAGUAGGGCGGGACACGUGGUAUCCUGUCUGAAUAUGGGGGGACCAUCCUCCAAGGCUAAAUACUCCUGACUGACCGAUAGUGAACCAGUACCGUGAGGGAAAGGCGAAAAGAACCCCGGCGAGGGGAGUGAAAAAGAACCUGAAACCGUGUACGUACAAGCAGUGGGAGCACGCUUAGGCGUGUGACUGCGUACCUUUUGUAUAAUGGGUCAGCGACUUAUAUUCUGUAGCAAGGUUAACCGAAUAGGGGAGCCGAAGGGAAACCGAGUCUUAACUGGGCGUUAAGUUGCAGGGUAUAGACCCGAAACCCGGUGAUCUAGCCAUGGGCAGGUUGAAGGUUGGGUAACACUAACUGGAGGACCGAACCGACUAAUGUUGAAAAAUUAGCGGAUGACUUGUGGCUGGGGGUGAAAGGCCAAUCAAACCGGGAGAUAGCUGGUUCUCCCCGAAAGCUAUUUAGGUAGCGCCUCGUGAAUUCAUCUCCGGGGGUAGAGCACUGUUUCGGCAAGGGGGUCAUCCCGACUUACCAACCCGAUGCAAACUGCGAAUACCGGAGAAUGUUAUCACGGGAGACACACGGCGGGUGCUAACGUCCGUCGUGAAGAGGGAAACAACCCAGACCGCCAGCUAAGGUCCCAAAGUCAUGGUUAAGUGGGAAACGAUGUGGGAAGGCCCAGACAGCCAGGAUGUUGGCUUAGAAGCAGCCAUCAUUUAAAGAAAGCGUAAUAGCUCACUGGUCGAGUCGGCCUGCGCGGAAGAUGUAACGGGGCUAAACCAUGCACCGAAGCUGCGGCAGCGACGCUUAUGCGUUGUUGGGUAGGGGAGCGUUCUGUAAGCCUGCGAAGGUGUGCUGUGAGGCAUGCUGGAGGUAUCAGAAGUGCGAAUGCUGACAUAAGUAACGAUAAAGCGGGUGAAAAGCCCGCUCGCCGGAAGACCAAGGGUUCCUGUCCAACGUUAAUCGGGGCAGGGUGAGUCGACCCCUAAGGCGAGGCCGAAAGGCGUAGUCGAUGGGAAACAGGUUAAUAUUCCUGUACUUGGUGUUACUGCGAAGGGGGGACGGAGAAGGCUAUGUUGGCCGGGCGACGGUUGUCCCGGUUUAAGCGUGUAGGCUGGUUUUCCAGGCAAAUCCGGAAAAUCAAGGCUGAGGCGUGAUGACGAGGCACUACGGUGCUGAAGCAACAAAUGCCCUGCUUCCAGGAAAAGCCUCUAAGCAUCAGGUAACAUCAAAUCGUACCCCAAACCGACACAGGUGGUCAGGUAGAGAAUACCAAGGCGCUUGAGAGAACUCGGGUGAAGGAACUAGGCAAAAUGGUGCCGUAACUUCGGGAGAAGGCACGCUGAUAUGUAGGUGAAGUCCCUCGCGGAUGGAGCUGAAAUCAGUCGAAGAUACCAGCUGGCUGCAACUGUUUAUUAAAAACACAGCACUGUGCAAACACGAAAGUGGACGUAUACGGUGUGACGCCUGCCCGGUGCCGGAAGGUUAAUUGAUGGGGUUAGCGCAAGCGAAGCUCUUGAUCGAAGCCCCGGUAAACGGCGGCCGUAACUAUAACGGUCCUAAGGUAGCGAAAUUCCUUGUCGGGUAAGUUCCGACCUGCACGAAUGGCGUAAUGAUGGCCAGGCUGUCUCCACCCGAGACUCAGUGAAAUUGAACUCGCUGUGAAGAUGCAGUGUACCCGCGGCAAGACGGAAAGACCCCGUGAACCUUUACUAUAGCUUGACACUGAACAUUGAGCCUUGAUGUGUAGGAUAGGUGGGAGGCUUUGAAGUGUGGACGCCAGUCUGCAUGGAGCCGACCUUGAAAUACCACCCUUUAAUGUUUGAUGUUCUAACGUUGACCCGUAAUCCGGGUUGCGGACAGUGUCUGGUGGGUAGUUUGACUGGGGCGGUCUCCUCCUAAAGAGUAACGGAGGAGCACGAAGGUUGGCUAAUCCUGGUCGGACAUCAGGAGGUUAGUGCAAUGGCAUAAGCCAGCUUGACUGCGAGCGUGACGGCGCGAGCAGGUGCGAAAGCAGGUCAUAGUGAUCCGGUGGUUCUGAAUGGAAGGGCCAUCGCUCAACGGAUAAAAGGUACUCCGGGGAUAACAGGCUGAUACCGCCCAAGAGUUCAUAUCGACGGCGGUGUUUGGCACCUCGAUGUCGGCUCAUCACAUCCUGGGGCUGAAGUAGGUCCCAAGGGUAUGGCUGUUCGCCAUUUAAAGUGGUACGCGAGCUGGGUUUAGAACGUCGUGAGACAGUUCGGUCCCUAUCUGCCGUGGGCGCUGGAGAACUGAGGGGGGCUGCUCCUAGUACGAGAGGACCGGAGUGGACGCAUCACUGGUGUUCGGGUUGUCAUGCCAAUGGCACUGCCCGGUAGCUAAAUGCGGAAGAGAUAAGUGCUGAAAGCAUCUAAGCACGAAACUUGCCCCGAGAUGAGUUCUCCCUGACUCCUUGAGAGUCCUGAAGGAACGUUGAAGACGACGACGUUGAUAGGCCGGGUGUGUAAGCGCAGCGAUGCGUUGAGCUAACCGGUACUAAUGAACCGUGAGGCUUAACCUU
rnacentral:rRNA from 1 species